rnacentral:rRNA from 1 species
CAGCAGUAGGGAAUCUUCGGCAAUGGACGAAAGUCUGACCGAGCAACGCCGCGUGAGUGAAGAAGGUUUUCGGAUCGUAAAACUCUGUUGUUAGAGAAGAACAAGGAUGAGAGUAACUGUUCAUCCCUUGACGGUAUCUAACCAGAAAGCCACGGCUAACUACGUGCCAGCAGCCGCGGUAAUACGUAGGUGGCAAGCGUUGUCCGGAUUUAUUGGGCGUAAAGCGAGCGCAGGCGGUUUCUUAAGUCUGAUGUGAAAGCCCCCGGCUCAACCGGGGAGGGUCAUUGGAAACUGGGAGACUUGAGUGCAGAAGAGGAGAGUGGAAUUCCAUGUGUAGCGGUGAAAUGCGUAGAUAUAUGGAGGAACACCAGUGGCGAAGGCGGCUCUCUGGUCUGUAACUGACGCUGAGGCUCGAAAGCGUGGGGAGCAAACAGGAUUAGA